GUAUUUUAGGUAUAGAGUGAACAUUCUCUACGCCUCGUGCGGUGAGCCACACUGUGUAUUCGUUUACCUGUUCAUCUCCAGGUUCGCCGGGUGUUGAGCACGAACGUUUGGGUUCCUCAAAGGUGUCCACAAAGUGUUUCAGCGGCCCAGGGUCCAGCUCUCCCAGCAUCCUUGCUCUGCAAGCCAAGUCGUACAGCUCAAUCACUCUCAUCCUCUGGUCUUUGCGAGACUCAACGUCAGGGCCUCAAGCGCCCCUGGAGCAACCGCGUCUGCAAUGUGUCUCUGGGAUUGCCACUCGGCUAGACACACCAUGAGUCCUAUCCAUCUGGGGUCCUGUGAACACGUGGGGUGUUUCACGUCGCUUCUAUUGUAAACCGACGGCCAGAGUCUCGUUAGUUGAGCAAAGGCAGCUACGCCGGUCUCACGUGUGAACUUCUCGGGCGAGGCGUAAUGUGACAAUGUAAACUGUCCAGUAUCAGUCCAAGACUGACAUGCCUCUCUCUCUAGGCUGAGAGGCAAUUCCCUAAAUGCAUAGGCCAGCGCACCUGCUCUCUGUCUACGGCCGGUUGUCGCAAUGACACAGCGACUGAUCUCACGAGCCACUUUCAGCAUCUCCUCUCUCCCCUGCCGCACCACAAACACAAUUUUGGGCCGGCUAGGGUGCGCACUGGGCGACAGUCUGUCAGCUAGGGCGAGAGUUGCCAUCGCAAGGUUAAGAAUCCUGUUUCCCGUGGUGUCAGACGAGUGGCACUCAAACACGGGUUUCAGGCCGCACCCGAACAACAACACGGUACAAAUGUCAUAAGUCAGGGACAAGAACAUGUGAGGUUUGUAAUACCUUACAAGCUUGCCAUUGUCAUCCAAUCUCAUCUCAAUUUGGUUGUUUUCGUUGUGUAAAGGUUCAAAAAACACGUGUCCUUCACUGCAAGGUAAACUGGGGACAAGUUCAAUUUGGAGACGAGAAUUGAGUAUGAUGAAACUGGAAACUCCCAUCUCACGCCACUCACAGUUGACAGUGAUGGGUUUCAGGGAUUUUUCUUCUUCUUUUUCUUGUUCUUCUUCUUCUUUUUCUUCAUUUUCACUUACAAGGAGCUGCUCUGUACCACCACAGCAACAGACUCCAGUUUCUGCACCAAGGGCCCGCUGUGCCUCAGGUAGAACAGAGGAGACUCAGACGCAAACGCUAUGGUGUGGCCAUCCACCACCGUAGUGCCCGGGUGCCGGUUGACGUCGCGGGACCGACUCACUAGCCGGAGGAACGUCCAGUCACCCAGACUGGUCUUGACCCUGUUAGGGAAACAUUCUACCUUCUCAAAUUCAAACACGGGGCCGAGCGUCCCAGAAUAGGCUC
rnacentral:lncRNA from 1 species